CUCCCCACCCCGGCGAGAAGCUGCGGCUCUGGGGUUUGCAGCCGGACGAGGCGGAAGUCGCUCUGUUCCUUCACAGUCCCUCAGUCUGGCGGAAAUUAAAGAGCUGUAAGAGAGGUUCCGGAGCUGGCCUGGCGUGUAGGUGGCCAGAUGGAGACCGAGACCGCACACCCGCCACUGACCCGCCGCCCGCCGCUGGCCUCUUCCUGGGAUGCCGCGUGCGGAGUCCUGGCCCAGAGUCUCCAUCUCACCCGAUCUGGUCUCGGCGCCCGGGACGCCGACUGGGAGGAGCUGCUGGCGCCGCCUGCCACCGGCCAGGAUCUGGUGAUUUUGAAAAGGAACGUGAACAGCCAAGAUGAAAACCCCUGCUUCCUUUACCUGAGAUGUGACCCUCCUGGAGGUGAAGAAAUCGUUUCUAUUGGCAUUUUAAGUUCAGCAAGAAAUAUGGAAGUAUACUCAGGAGAGGAGUACUGUGGAACCAGUAGGGGCAAGAAUGUUUGUAAUGUUCUGGAUAACAGUGAACAUGAAAAGAUUAUUUUGUACAAAAAAUAUCUAAAAUUGGAGUCUUCCACACAUGCUUGUAAAAUAAAGCUGCUCUCCUUUGGUGAAAAGCAGUGUGCGUUCAUCAGUAAAGUUGUGGUACACGUGAGGCCAGUUUCGGCAAAUUCUUCAGCGGGCUCUCCUGCACUAGGAUCAAGAAUAGACCUGGAGAGGGUCCAAACUAUCAUGGAGUCCAUGGGGUCAAAGUUGUCAUCUGGAGCUCAGCAAUUGAUGAAUAUGGUUAUUUUCCAGCAACGGGUAAGUAGAAAUGGAUUUCU